GAAGGGAAGAACAUGCUUCAUGGUGGCCCUAAAGGAUUCAGCAAAGUUGUUUGGAAAGUUAAAAAAUAUAAGCCAGAAAGCAAUGCCCCUUUCAUUAUCUUUACCUAUCACAGUCCUGAUGGCGAAGAAGGAUUCCCUGGAAAUCUUCAUGUGGCUGUGGGAUACACACUGAUUGGAGACAAGUUGAGUAUAACAAUGAAAGCAAAAGCUUUAAACAAGGCUACUCCAGUGAAUCUAGCCCAACAUGCCUACUGGAACUUGGGUGGCCAAAACAGUGGUGAUAUUCUGUCCGAAGAAAUUCAGAUCUUUGCUUCCCAAUACACUCCUGUUGAUAGCCAGCUUAUUCCUACUGGAAAAAUUGAAUCUGUGAAAGGAACACCAUACGAUUU
rnacentral:misc_RNA from 1 species